rnacentral:rRNA from 1 species
UACAGAGGGUGCUAGCGUUGUUCGGAAUCAUUGGGCGUAAAGGGCGUGUAGACGGUUUGUUAAGUCAUGUGUGAAAUCCCUCGGCUCAACCGGGGAACGACGCAUGAAACUGGCAAGCUAGAGUACCAAAGAGGGGGGUGGAAUUCCCGGUGUAGCGGUGAAAUGCGUAGAGAUCCGGAGGAACACCAGCGGCGAAGGCGGCAUCCUGGACUGGUACUGACGCUCAUGAGCGAAAGCGUAGGGGAG